UUUUCUAUGGGGGAUGUAAUAUUUUAGGCGGAUGUGAUAUUUUAUUACAGAACCCUCCGAAUUGUACUAAAACGAGCUUCGCUCUACAAAUUUUUGUAAUACUCUUUAGAUUAAAACGAGUGAAGAUAAUUUUUCUCUAAAUUUUUAGCAUUUAUUAGAACAUUGCUCUUGAAGUAAAUUUAUUCACUGAAAUGUGUAUGCAACUAUCUAUUUUAUUCAAAUAUGUUCCAAGUUUAGAAUGUACAAGUUUAGAAAGGUAUACUUUAAUUUUUUGUAUGAAAUUUAUAAAUUAAUAUAAUGAAAAUUCAUGCAAAAAAACCAUUUUGUAUGUUGUAUACUAGAUAAUAUACUUGAUAACCUGGUAAAUAUAGUUUUGUUUGUUUGUUUAAAAAUAGAUGCGCAGCAAAUUGAUGCACAACCAAACACUGCUGAAGCUUUAAAUCUGGCUGCUGCGACAGAAAAUAAGUACAUAUUGGCCACAUAUUUUAAAAGGCCAUUGUCAAAGAGCUUUUAUACUAAAAUGUCUUUUAGUAUAAAAGCUUUUAUUUUUCUACUAUAUCACACCUUUUGCAGCCAGAAAAUCUGAAAAAAAUAUUAAACAGAUGAUCUCAUGUUGUCUUUUCUUGGCAAGGACCUAGAGAUGCUGCAUAGAUCCCUAUUCAGUUGGUUGUUAAAACUGAUAUUUUUCUUAAAUUUUAUUCUCUUCUUAACUUAUUAGAGCUUGAUAUUACUGAUAAAGGUAUUUAUCUAGAGAUAAAAGAUAUUCAUUUAGAUUUUCAACUUAGAAAAAACUUCAGAAUUUAUUACGUCAAGAUAAAGUGAAAUCUGCAGAUGUAAAAAAAGUUAAAGAAGGAUGCUGCAAAUAUGGUAAUUUUUUUAUUGGAGAAAAUCACUCGGAAAAGUUCAUUAUAAUCAUUGCAUGGUAUGAAUUGCAAAUGUGUUUGAUUCAAGUUCCUGUAUAUGACCAAUCCAAUCGAUAGAUCCAAAUUCUGUAUGCAACUGGUCAAAUUACGAAGAAAGAUGAAACAACUCUUGACUCAUUGAAGAUUAUUAAUGCAACUUUAGCAGAGAAAGUUUUGCCACAAUAUUCAGUUCUGUUGGCAGUGUUAUCUCAAGAUCUUGAAAUAGUAGAGUCUUCAAGUUGUGAGAGCGCUAGACUUAAUAAUUUCUUUUUUUCAUAAACCCACAAUACAUAUACCAAAAAGUUAAAAUCUAUUUUGUUCUUAUAUUGGUUUUAGUUACAAGUCAUAGUAAAACAAGGGUAGAGAGGACUUGAUGUUAUUAAGAUUGUAACCAAUAUAUAACCAAUAUAUAACCAAUAAUAUAAAGAAAGAUGAAGGGUAGGCCUUGUGUAAAAAAACAACCUGAUACCUUCAACACUGAAACUAACAAACAAGUUUAUAAGGUUUGUGAAAGGCGCGUGCUUAAAAUAUUAGCUUGAUCUUGAUCAAAAGAAAAAGAAUGCUAAGAAAAAUCAAAGAAACCAUCAGUUAAAAUUUUAACCAAAAUCAUUGAUGAUUAAAAGAAGAAAAAGUCAGGGGGUAAAAAUUGUUUUUCAAGAAAAAGAAAGUCAGGAAAAUUACUUAUAUAUUAAAUAUGAGUUGAGUCAGAAAAAUCUUUCAUUUAGAACCUAGAUAAACCCUGAUGAUGUUUAACAAAUACCAAAAUUAACUUUAAAAAAUGGUUUUUUUUUUUGUUUUUUUUUAAAAAAAAAAAAAACUCCAUUACCUUUAUGUAGAAUUUUUUUUAUCCAGAAAUAUUGAAGAGAAAUCACAAGGUGUAUUUUAAGCAUAGAGAUUAUCCAUUUUCCGGAAUUCCCUUAAUUUUUUUUUUCAUGCAGCAUUCUUGACUGCCAACAUGGAAAUGACAGAUAAGAUAGAUUCAUAGUUAUUGGCAUGACUCAGUUAUCGGCGCUUUCCAUUUUUGUGUCAGUUUAUCAGUUUAAUAGUAUAAUAUAAGAAAAUUGAGCCAAUGAUAUAUAAAAAGAGUAGUAGAUUAUGACUUAAACUAUAAAUUUUAUAGUAAGCAGACCUUAUCAUUGCUGGAAUUCAAGAACUGAGAAACUAUUACUUGAGAGGUUUUCUAAAGAGAUUGAGCGUGACGCUAUGCCUGAUCAAAAAACUCUCCGAAAGUUUGUUAAAGAAAGUGGCAUCGGAUUGUCUUAUAAAACAGUUCGAACUAAACUAACAAAUGAACGUGUCCCAGUGGGCACACGACGUUAUUUCGACAUUGAUUUACAGUUAAUUUUUAGUCGCGACGUCGUAUAAUCAAAAAUCAACGUUGAAUCAACGUUGAA